AAGCCCCGCGCAGCCGCCGGCGAACACUGUCAUCGCCAGCACGCCUCCGGCACGGCAAACCACACCAAGACGAACUGGCUCAUGAUACCAAAUGUUGGGGCUGCCCUCCGGCGACACACGCCGAGGCAGCCCUCCGGCGACAAAACGCCCGACGGAGGUAGAAGAAGAUGAACAGAAACACUUGGUUAUGGCGACGAACGCCCCGGCCGCCGAACGGCCUGUAUGUUGGCUUCUAUUCCACUCAACUGAUUACACACACCUCGGUGGACACACCAUACACGUACAUGGCUAUAUAUAGCCUCACACACGCACGCACACAGCCACGCAACAACCUGUCCGGCUCUUAUGCACACGACCUGCUCCACUACAUGCACUCACGCACUAAUAGCUGACUUGAUCACCCAUGAUCCACAUGACCCGGACCUGCCUCUCCGCACGAACGGAACUGCAGCUGUCCAUGCAUGCAUGAUGAACUGAUCUCUUUUGCUGCCGCUUCUUCAGCUAUGACCAUACACGGCAAGACCUGGCCAGCAUCGGACGCUCGGACAUCCACUACAGCUAACUACGUGCAUGACCCAUACAAUGCGUGGUUUAUUGCUAACAGCAGGCACCUUGCCUGAUGGCGCAAGAGGGAGGAGAGGAUGAAAA
rnacentral:lncRNA from 1 species